UAAUACAUGCAAAUUCCUCCGAGCCGAGGGUUUAGAAGCCACAACUCAGCUGCAAGCAUGAGUUUCUGGAAGCAGCGUGCCUGCUUAACCAUACCCUGACUAAGCAUUGUCACUACUGGAAGUAACUCCAUCUCUCUGAGCCUCACUACCUCUCUACUGGAACCCACGGCUUAGAAUAGAAGCAUCUCCAAGUCUCCUACGUAUCUACCAGGCAGGGUCUCUAACUGAACCUGGAUAUCACUCGGCUUCUCCAGUCUUCACCUCCACAGUACAGGGGUUACAACGAUAUACCCCGACACCAGACUGCUUUUUUAUGGGUUCUGGAGGAGUGGAGCUGCUGGAUCCUAAGACAAUGCCACACUUUCCGUUUUGAAGAACUUCCAAAGGCUUUCAGUAGGUGGAAUGUGGAGAGAGUCAGAAGAGCUGAACAGAAUCUGGAGCCUGCUCCAAUGCAGCCUUGGAAACAUUUUACAGACUGGGCCUUCCGUCUCACCAGUCCCAACUUUGAGCUUCCGCACCCCCACUUCCUAAGUGGGAUCUUAGGCGUGAAGCAGAAGAUGUGGCCCAGAUUAAAGGUGGAUCUUCACCCUCAAAGAUCCAGAUUAGAAGCUGACCCCACUACUUAAUGGCAGGGCCUUUCACCUCUCUGAGCCUCUUCUGUAAAGUGAGUUUAAAGAGACCUGCUCACAGACUUGGAAGAUGGCUCAGUGGAUAAAGCACUUGCUCCACAAGCGUGAAGACCUAAGUUUGACUCUCCAGAGCUCACAUAAAGGUCCUGGCUGGUGACAUGUGGAUGACACUCUAUAACUAUCAGAUGGUCCCACAAAUACCAACAUUGCUGCUCCAUCUGAAUCAAAUCCUCCAUACCCACAAGGGUUGUUUGUCCUCUUUUCUGCCUGAUGUCACAGCUGGGAUACCUUGAUGUCACAAAGUGGAAGAUGAAGAGGCAUAGUCUAACAUGUGGAAGAAAAUGUGAUGCUGGGGUCCAGUUUUUCUUGAGUGGUUGUGCAUUUCUAUCUGCUUUUCUUAGCUCUGUUCAUUUCCCUGCUCCAGUAUUCACUUGCUGUUGCCAGGGACCCAUGAGCCUCGGAGUUGAAGUCAAGAUAGCUCCCUGGCUCUGGAUUUUGCAGUAAUGAAUGCACCCACCAAGG
rnacentral:lncRNA from 1 species